AGUGAACGCUGGCGGUAGGCCUAACACAUGCAAGUCGAACGGCAGCACAGUAAGAGCUUGCUCUUACGGGUGGCGAGUGGCGGACGGGUGAGGAAUACAUCGGAAUCUACUUUUUCGUGGGGGAUAACGUAGGGAAACUUACGCUAAUACCGCAUACGACCUACGGGUGAAAGCAGGGGAUCUUCGGACCUUGCGCGAUUGAAUGAGCCGAUGUCGGAUUAGCUAGUUGGCGGGGUAAAGGCCCACCAAGGCGACGAUCCGUAGCUGGUCUGAGAGGAUGAUCCGCCACACUGGAACUGAGACACGGUCCAGACUCCUACGGGAGGCAGCAGUGGGGAAUAUUGGACAAUGGGCGCAAGCCUGAUCCAGCCAUACCGCGUGGGUGAAGAAGGCCUUCGGGUUUUAAAGCCCUUUUGUUGGGAAAGAAAAGCAGCAGGUUAAUACCCCGCUGUUCUGACGGUACCCAAAGAAUAAGCACCGGCUAACUUCGUG
rnacentral:rRNA from 1 species